ACCGGGAAAAGAGGAGUGGCGAACGGGUGAGUAACACGUGAGUAACCUGCCCCUCACUUCGGGAUAACCUCGGGAAAUCGUGGCUAAUACCGGAUACGAGCACUCAUCGCAUGGUGGGUGUUGGAAAGAUUUAUCGGUGGGGGAUGGACUCGCGGCCUAUCAGCUUGUUGGUGAGGUAAUGGCUCACCAAGGCGACGACGGGUAGCCGGCCUGAGAGGGUGACCGGCCACACUGGGACUGAGACACGGCCCAGACUCCUACGGGAGGCAGCAGUGGGGAAUAUUGGACAAUGGGCGAAAGCCUGAUCCAGCAACGCCGCGUGAGGGAUGACGGCCUUCGGGUUGUAAACCUCUUUCAGUAGGGAAGAAGCGAAAGUGACGGUACCUGCAGAAGAAGCGCCGGCUAACUACGUGCCAGCAGCCGCGGUAAUACGUAGGGCGCAAGCGUUAUCCGGAUUUAUUGGGCGUAAAGAGCUCGUAGGCGGUUUGUCGCGUCUGCCGUGAAAGUCCGAGGCUCAACCUCGGAUCUGCGGUGGGUACGGGCAGACUAGAGUGAUGUAGGGGAGACUGGAAUUCCUGGUGUAGCGGUGAAAUGCGCAGAUAUCAGGAGGAACACCGAUGGCGAAGGCAGGUCUCUGGGCAUUUACUGACGCUGAGGAGCGAAAGCAUGGGGAGCGAACAGGAUUAGAUACCCUGGUAGUCCAUGCCGUAAACGUUGGGCACUAGGUGUGGGGGACAUUCCACGUUCUCCGCGCCGUAGCUAACGCAUUAAGUGCCCCGCCUGGGGAGUACGGUCGCAAGGCUAAAACUCAAAGGAAUUGACGGGGGCCCGCACAA
rnacentral:rRNA from 1 species